rnacentral:rRNA from 1 species
UACGUAGGUGGCGAGCGUGUCCGGAUUUAUUGGGCGUAAAGCGCGCGCAGGCGGCGCCGCAAGUCCGGUGUGAAAGCGCCCGGCUCAACUGGGCGAGGUCUUGGAGACUGCGGUGCUGGAGGGUGGCAGAGGCCGGUGGAAUUCCCGGUGUAGUGGUGAAAUGCGUAGAGAUCGGGAGGAACACCAGUGGCGAAGGCGGCCGGCUGGGCCGACACU